UUAAGUUCAGCGGGUAUUCCUACCUGAUCCGAGGUCAACCUUCAGAAGUGGGUGUUUUACGGCAUGGCCGCGCCGCGAUCCGGUGCGAGGUGUGCUACUACGCAGGGGAAGCUACAGCGAGACCGCCACUGUUUUUCGGGGGCGGCUGCCGCCAGAGGGCGGGCUGCCGGUCCCCAACGCCAAGCCCGGGGGCUUGAGGG
rnacentral:misc_RNA from 1 species